rnacentral:tRNA from 1 species
AUUUGUAUAGUAUAAAAUCAUUAUAUUUGACUUCCAAUCAAAAGAGCUAACUAAAUUUAGUACAAAUA